rnacentral:misc_RNA from 1 species
GAUGAAGAACGUAGCGAAAUGCGAUACGUAAUGUGAAUUGCAGAAUUCAGUGAAUCAUCGAAUCUUUGAACGCAUAUUGCGCUCUCUGGUAUUCCGGAGAGCAUGCUUUUUGAGUAUCAGUAAACACCUCAACUUCCAUAUCUUUUUUGAAAUGGGAGUUGGACUUGAGUGAUCCCAACGCUUUUCCUCACCGAAAAGUGGCGGGUUACUUGAAAUGCAGGUGCAGCUGGACUUUUCUCUGAGCUAUAAGCAUAUCUAUUUAGUCUGCCUAAAAAACAGAUUAUUACCUUUGCUGCAGCUAACAUAAAGGAGAUUAGUUCUUGUGCUGACUGAUGCAGGAUUCACAAAGACGGCUUCGGCCGACUUUGUAAACUCGAUCUCAAAUCAAGUAAGACUACCCGCUGAACUUAAGCAUAUCAAUAAGCGGAGGA